AGAUUGAACGCUGGCGGCAGGCCUAACACAUGCAAGUCGAGCGGCAGCACGGGUACUUGUACCCGGUGGCGAGCGGCGGACGGGUGAGUAAUGCCUAGGAAUCUGCCUGGUAGUGGGGGGAUAACGCUCGGAAACGGACGCUAAUACCGCAUACGUCCUACGGGAGAAAGCAGGGGACCUUCGGGCCUUGCGCUAUCAGAUGAGCCUAGGGUCGGAUUAGCUAGGUUGGUGAGGUAAUGGCUCACCGAAGGCCGACGAUCCGUAACUGGUCUGAGAGGAUGAUCAGUCACACUGGAACUGAGACCACGGUCCAGACCUCGACGGGAGCAGCAGGUGGGAAUAGUGGACAGUGGGACAAGCCUAGAUCCAGCCAUCGGCCGUCGGUGUGUAGAA
rnacentral:rRNA from 1 species